UACGUAGGGGGCAAGCGUUGUCCGGAAUCAUUGGGCGUAAAGCGCGCGUAGGCGGCCCUGUAAGUCCGCUGUGAAAGUCAAAGGCUCAACCUUUGAAAGCCGGUGGAUACUGCAGGGCUAGAGUCCGGAAGGGGCGAGUGGAAUUCCUGGUGUAGCGGUGGAAUGCGCAGAUAUCAGGAGGAACACCAAUAGCGAAGGCAGCUCGCUGGGACGGUACUGACGCUAAGGCGCGAAAGCGUGGGGAGCGAACAGG
rnacentral:rRNA from 1 species